CCUACGGGCGGCAGCAGUGAGGAAUAUUGGUCAAUGGGCGCGAGCCUGAACCAGCCAAGUAGCGUGAAGGAUGACUGCCCUACGGGUUGUAAACUUCUUUUAUAAAGGAAUAAAGUGAGGCACGUGUGCCGUUUUGUAUGUACUUUAUGAAUAAGGAGCGGCUACCUCCGUGCCAGCAGCCGCGGUAAUACGGAGGAUCCGAGCGUUAUCCGGAUUUAUUGGGGUUAAAGGGAGCGUAGAUGGGUUGGUAAGUCAGUGGUGCCAGUUUGCGGCUCAACCGUAAAAUUGCAAUUGAUACUGGCAGCCUUGCGUACAGUUGCGGUAGGCGGAAUUCGUGGUGUAGCGGU
rnacentral:rRNA from 1 species